rnacentral:lncRNA from 1 species
GUGACACGCUGAGCUGCCCGGGGGGCAAGAGUCACGUGAUGGCCCAGCCUGGCCCUUCUGCGAAGUCGCCUGGUGGGGAGGAGGCUCGGGUGAAGCCCGCUGCCAGCUGCUUCGGGAACGGCUGUCAAGACCAGCUCCUUGAGGAGGAGACGCUGACAGCCGGGCAGCCUCCCAAGGCCGCUGGCUGGGGCCUGAGGAUCCAGGCAGUGGGUCUCAGCAGCUCUCCUCAAGGGACGUGCACCCAGGGCCUCUUGGGGUGUCCGAGUUACUGCCUGAGUGGACGCUGUGACGGUGCAGACUCUGGGGAGGUCACGUGCCUUCAGCUGGCUCUUACAUCUGUGGGCCAAGACUCGGCAGCCACUUGUCUCCCCCUUGCAGUAGCUGUGGGAAAGGCCAGAGUCCUCCCCCCAGAGCCGGGCCACCGCUGAAGGAGGGACACCGACCAGCAAAGAGCUGCUGCCUCUGUCCAGGGAGAGAGCGGGGUGGACCAAGGUUGGAGGCAGAACCCACCCUGCGGAUGGAGUGGCAGGUGGGGCCUCAGCCGGGGAGCCCUGUGCCUCGGGUGUGUGGG